rnacentral:misc_RNA from 1 species
UACGGAGGGUGCAAGCGUUGUUCGGAUUUACUGGGCGUAAAGCGUAUGUAGGCGGUUGGUUAAGUCUAGUGUUAAAGGUUGAGGCUCAACCUCAAAACUGCACUGGAUACUGGCUAACUAGAGGGCAAUAGAGGAGGGUGGAAUUCCCAGUGUAGCGGUGAAAUGCGUAGAUAUUGGGAGGAACACCAGUUGCGAAGGCGACCCUCUGGGUUGUUCCUGACGCUGAGGUACGAAAGCGUGGGUAGCAAACGGG